rnacentral:misc_RNA from 1 species
AGCAGCCGCGGUAAUUCCAGCUCCAAUAGCGUAUAUUAAAGUUGCUGCAGUUAAAAAGCUCGUAGUUGAAUUUCGGGACUAAUAUGUCGGUCGUGCCUCGGUACGUACUGGCUUAUUGGUUUCUCCUUUCUGAAGAACCAUGAUGUCAUUUAUUUGGUGUCGUGGGGAAUCAGGACUGUUACUUUGAAAAAAUUAGAGUGUUUAAAGCAGGCUCACGCUUGAAUACAUUAGCAUGGAAUAAUGAAAUAGGACGUUUGAUUCUAUUUUGUUGGUUUCUAGGAUCGACGUAAUGAUUAAUAGGGAUAGUUGGGGGCAUUAGUAUUCAAUUGUCAGAGGUGAAAUUCUUGGAUUUAUUGAAGACUAACUACUGCGAAAGCAUUUGCCAAGGAUGUUUUCAUUAAUCAAGAACGAAAGUUAGGGGAUCGAAGACGAUCAGAUACCGUCGUAGUCUUAACCAUAAGCUAUGCCGACUAGGGAUCGGAUGAUGUU